rnacentral:lncRNA from 1 species
GGAAGAUAAAUAUAAGGAAGAUAAAGAUAAGGGUAAAGAAGAUAAAUAUAAGGAAGAUAAGGAUAGAGAUAAGAGGAUAAAUAUAAGGGAGAUAAGGAUAAGGAAGAUAAGAAGAUAAAGAUAAGAAGAUAAAGAUAAGGAUAAAGAUAAAGAUAAGGAUAAGGAUAAAGAUAAGAAGAUAAAGAUAAGGAUAAAGAUAAGAAGAUAAGGAUAAAGAUAAGGAAGAUAAAGAUAAAGAUAAGUAUAAGGAACAUAAAAAUUAGGAUAAGGAUAAAUAUAAGGAUAAGGAACAUAAAGAUUAAGAUAAGGAUAAA